rnacentral:rRNA from 1 species
GAUGAACGCUGGCGGCGUGCCUAAUACAUGCAAGUCGAGCGAACAGAUGAGGAGCUUGCUCCUCUGACGUUAGCGGCGGACGGGUGAGUAACACGUGGAUAACCUACCUAUAAGACUGGGAUAACUUCGGGAAACCGGAGCUAAUACCGGAUAAUAUAUUGAACCGCAUGGUUCAAUAGUGAAAGACGGUUUUGCUGUCACUUAUAGAUGGAUCCGCGCCGCAUUAGCCAGUUGGUAAGGUAACGGCUUACCAAGGCAACGAUGCGUAGCCGACCUGAGAGGGUGAUCGGCCACACUGGAACUGAGACACGGUCCAGACUCCUACGGGAGGCAGCAGUAGGGAAUCUUACGCAAUAGGCGAAAGCCUGACGGAGCAACGCCGCGUGAGUGAUGAAGGUCUUCGGAUCGUAAAACUCUGUUAUUAGGGAAGAACAAAUGUGUAAGUAACUAUGCACGUCUUGACGGUACCUAAUCAGAAAGCCACGGCUAACUACGUG